AACUUUUAACAACGGAUCUCUUGGUUCUCGCAUCGAUGAAGAACGCAGCGAAAUGCGAUAGGUAAUGUGAAUUGCAGAAUUCAGUGAAUCAUCGAGUCUUUGAACGCACCUUGCGCUCCCUGGUACUCCGGGGAGCACGUCUGUUCGAGUGUC
rnacentral:rRNA from 1 species